rnacentral:lncRNA from 1 species
CCUGAGGGCUUCGAGAAGCUCUGUGGUUUGGCUCUCCUGUCCUAAACGUUUGAGGAACUUCCCAAGUUCCUCAAAGGGGAACAAAGAUUAAUCUUCCUUGGAGUAUGAGAAGUGUACGGAGUGCAGUCUUAGAGCAGAGAGUGUGAACAUGGAUUCGUACUUCACUGGACCAGCCAGUACAGCCUCAGCAGGCUUGGCGGUCGUGGAGCUUAGUUAUCUGCGGUCACCUCCUGUAGUGUGUGAGUGAACGAAAGCCCUCUGCCCACCUUGACUUGUACAUGUUUGCGGGAAUGGGCGACCCCUGAGAGCUGUUAACUCCAUGCUGCAGAAAGCUGCUUACCAUUCUCGUGCCUGCCGCAGCAAGAAUUGCUGUCUGUCCUUUCUUUCGCAUUGUAAAUUGCCGGCAGAUGCUUUAGGUGGGUAGUGUUGCUUUAAAUUGUGCCCCUCCCAACAUGCUUGAUGUUUGGCCUGAUCUCCAGGCAAAAGGAGUGAGAUGAAUCAAAACCAGUGAACUUUUUUUUAAAAAAAUGUUUUUAAUUCCCUUUUAACCCAGUAUACUAGGUCAGGAGGCAUCUAGGGAACAAAAAAAGCAAAAAACAAAAUUUAAAAAAAAAACUGAUUUUCAUAUUCCAUCACUUUGAAAACCUUAAACCUAUGACAAGGUAUGUCACGUGUACGCUGCCAUGCUUAACUCACCUGAAUAAAGGAGUCCGCUAUUCCAAGUUGCUUUUUGACUGUGCCUAGUUCUAAAGCAAAACUAUUUGUGACCUGUCCCAAAUUCCUUGGGGAUCAAAAUCCUAAAGAUGCCUCCUUACCAGAUAUAACCCUGACUGUAACAGCUGUAGCAGGAGCUGCACGGUACAAAACCCCAAAAGGCAAGUCCAGUCAGUGUUGGUUACAAAACAGAAACCAAAUUAAGGAAUCACUUCCCUUUUUUGAAACAAAACCAAUUAGAAAAAAACUACAAUUUUUUUGUUUAGUAAAAAUAAGAAAAUUCUAAUGUCCCUAGUCACAAGGGACCAGUUCCACUUUGAACAGUAGGAACUUAAAAAUUUGAAAACAUUUGGGGAAAGGGAAAAUUGGCUUUCUGUUUAAUUGGCAAAUGUUCCAGUGGGAGGGUCUGUUUUUGUUGGGAUGUGUUACAGUAUAUGUACAUGUCUAUGGACCUGAGUCUUUAAGGAAUUUAUACAUGGUUCAGAAAAGAUGGUUGGUAAAA